GACCUUCGGUGGCCUAGUGGUUAGAGCGUCCGCCUCCAAUGUGGAAGUUCGUGGGUUCUAUACCUGACCGAGUCA